AGCUGAGGGAGCCGGCUCCCGCCUUGGCCAGCCCAGAAAGGGGCUCUCACAGUGCAGCGGUGGGCUGAAGGGCUCCUCAAGUGCCACCAAAGUGGGAGCCCAGGCAGAGGAGGUGGCAAGAGCAAGGGAGGGCUGUGAGGACUGCCAGCACGCUGUCACCUCUCAGAAUUACCAGAGGAAGGUUCUGCAGCUACCUCAAUUCUUGCCUCUUCAGAAGAAAGGAUUCGACUGAGGAGUAUAAGGCAGAAGAAGAGACCCAGAUGGUGUAGAAGACAUAGGUACUUUCUAUGACACGUAAUCCAAUGGAGAAAACUUUUAGAUGUACAUUGCUACUGAAAACAAACAAACAAAAAAACGACACACACAACACAGCCUAGGACACUGACGCACUCAGAUGACCUAAGCCCGGAGCCUGCCCAUGAUCCUCGACGUCUCCUUUCUCCUCACUUACCAGAUCCAAACCAGUAAAGCUGCUUCCAGACAGCUUGACACCAUAUGUCUCUUCUGACUCUAUUCACUUCUAUUCCUACAUGUGAUCGUAUCCCCAUCAAUUUACUCUAGAAUUACUGCAUUAGUCUCUUAUCUCUAUAACUCCAACCCCAUAUUCCUCUCCAAUCUGUUUUCCAUACUGCAACAAUAGUGAAUUUAUCAAAACAUAAAUUUAACCACACCAGAUUUUGAAGAGCUGAUGAGAGUCAUAACUAGCAAGGUAGAAGAGCGUGGAGACUACGGAUAGAAAUUUGCAAACAGAAGGAUCUUAAACAACGUUGAUCUCAGCUCUUUCAUUUAACAGAGGAAAAGUUUGGGGCACAAUAGGUCAACAAAAGUGAAUUGUCCGAAGGGAUACAAAGGCAUAGAACAAAGGCAUCUCAUUAUAUCCUUGUUUCUUUUCUUUUUUUUUUUUUGAGACAGAGU